GGAGAGAUAGCUGAGUGGUUGAUAGCUCCGGUCUUAAAAACCAGUAUAGUUCGAAACAUUUAUUCA
rnacentral:tRNA from 1 species